CAGCCGCCGCGGGAAUACGGAGGGGGCUAGCGUUGUUCGGAAUUACUGGGCGUAAAGCGUACGUAGGCGGCUUUGUAAGUUAGAGGUGAAAGCCCGGGGCUCAACCCCGGAAUUGCCUUUAAGACUGCAUCGCUUGAAUCGCGGAGAGGUGAGUGGAAUUCCGAGUGUAGAGGUGAAAUUCGUAGAUAUUCGGAAGAACACCAGUGGCGAAGGCGGCUCACUGGACGCGUAUUGACGCUGAGGUACGAAAGCGUAGGGAGCAAACAGGAUUAGAUACCCCCGUAGUCCCUGUCUCUUAUAC
rnacentral:rRNA from 1 species